rnacentral:lncRNA from 1 species
AUGCUGAAAAUUCUCCAAGCCAGGCUUCAGCAAUAUGUGAACCGUGAACUUCCAGAUGUUCAAGCUGGUUUUAGAAAAGGCAGAGGAACCAGAGAUCAAAUUGCCAACAUCUGCUGGAUCAUGGAAAAUGCAAGCGAGUUCCAGAAAAAUAUCUAUUUCUGCUUUAUUGACUAUGCCAAAGCCUUUGACUGUGUGGAUCACAAUAAACUGUGGAAAAUUCUGAAAGAGAUGGGAAUACCAGACCACCUGACCUGCCUCUUGAGAAACCUAUAUGCAGGGCGGGAAGCAACAGUUAGAACUGGACAUGGAACAACAGACUGGUUCCAAAUAGGAAAAGGAGUAUGUCAAGGCUGUAUAUUGUCACCCUGCUUAUUUAACUUCUAUGCAGAGUACAUCAUGAGAAACGCCGGUCUGGAAGAAGCACAAGCUGGAAUCAAGAUUGUCAGGAGAAAUAUCAAUAACCUUAGAUAUGCAGAUGGCACCACCCUGAUGGCAGAAAGUGAAGAGGAACUAAAAAGCCUCUUGAUGAAAGUGAAAGUGGAGAGUGAAAAAGUUGGCUUAAAGCUCAACAUUCAGAAAACAAAAAUCAUGGCAUCUGGUCCCAUCACUUCAUGGGAAAUAGAUGGGGAAACAGUGUCAGAAUUUAUUUUGGGGGGCUCCAAAAUCACUGCAGAUGGUGACUGCAGCUAUGAAAUGAAAAGACGCUUACUCCUUGGAAGGAAAGUUAUGACCAACCUAGAUAGUAUGUUGAAAAGCAGAGACAUUGCUUUGCCAACAAAGGUCCUUCUAGUCAAGGCUAUGGUUCUUCCAGUGGUCAUGUAUGGAUGUGAGAGUUGGACUGUGAAGAAAGCUGAGCGCCGAAGAAUUGAUGCUUUUGAACCGUGGUGUUGGAGAAGACUCUCGAGAGUUCCUUGUACUGCAAGGAGAUCCAACCAGUCCAUUCUGAAGGAGAUCAGCCCUGGGAUAUCUUUGGAAGGACUGAUACUAAAGCUGAAACUCCAGUACUUUGGCCACCUCAUGCGAAGAGUUGACUCAUUGGAAAAGACUCUGAUGCUGGGAGGGAUUGGGGGCAGGAGAAUAAGGGGACAACAGAGGAUGAGAUGGCUGGAUGGCAUCACUGACUCGAUGGAUGUGAAUCUGAGUGAACUCCAGGAGUUGGGGUGGACAGGGAGGCCUGGUGUGCUGCGAUUCAUGGGGUUGCAAAGAGUCGGACACUACUGA